rnacentral:lncRNA from 12 species
CAUACAGAUCACAGCAGUUCCUUCCAGCUCAGUAAUGUCUCUGGAGACAUGCAAGGGAAAUCCAGAACUACCGGUGACUCACUGCUAAAUUGGAAUACCAGAUGACUACAGGAGUACAGGAAAUAAACCAAAACCAGUCUGUGACUGACAGGACUGAAC